AGAAAUCACCCGUCUUCUGCGUCAAUCACGCUGAGAACUGCAGACCAGAGCUGUUCCUAUUUGGCCAUCUUGGAACCGGUCUGAGUCUGUUUUAGCCAGAUCAAGUACUUGGUGAGAGAACCUUUGUGGGAGCGCAGAAGUCCAGCAGAGAGACCCUAGCACUUUAUUUGGACCAAAAAAUAAAUAAUAAAUAAAUAAAUAAAUAAAUCCAAAACUAGAUGCAUUAAAGAAGACUUCUCCUAUGGAGAAUGCAGCAAGAAAAUACCAUCUUGAAGCAGAGAGCAGCGCUCAUCAGGCAUCAGUCCUUCUGGAGCCUUGAUCUUGGACCUCCCAGCUCCAAAAUAAUAAGUAAUAAAUUGUUAUUGCUUAUAAAUUA
rnacentral:lncRNA from 1 species